UACGGGAGGCAGCAGUGGGGAAUAUUGCACAAUGGGCGAAAGCCUGAUGCAGCGACGCCGCGUGAGGGAUGACGGCCUUCGGGUUGUAAACCUCUUUCAGUAGGGAAGAAGCGUAAGUGACGGUACCUGCAGAAGAAGCGCCGGCUAACUACGUGCCAGCAGCCGCGGUAAUACGUAGGGCGCAAGCGUUAUCCGGAAUUAUUGGGCGUAAAGAGCUCGUAGGCGGUUUGUCGCGUCUGCCGUGAAAGUCCGGGGCUCAACUCCGGAUCUGCGGUGGGUACGGGCAGACUAGAGUGAUGUAGGGGAGACUGGAAUUCCUGGUGUAGCGGUGAAAUGCGCAGAUAUCAGGAGGAACACCGAUGGCGAAGGCAGGUCUCUGGGCAUUAACGUGACGCUGAGGAGCGAAAGCAUGGGGAGCGAACAGGGAUUAGAUACC
rnacentral:rRNA from 1 species